AGAGCUGCAAAGAACUGGGCCCACUUCCCACACAUCCACUUUGGUCUCCUGCCUGACCAGACUAUGAAGAAGACUAACGUGCGCCAGCAGGAAGGAGAGGACGUUCUCAUGAAAGAUGGGUUUUUCGCUUCCGCUAAUGUUGGCAUCUCCCCC